rnacentral:rRNA from 1 species
CAUAGGUUAAUGAGGCGAACCGGGGGAACUGAAACAUCUAAGUACCCCGAGGAAAAGAAAUCAACCGAGAUUCCCCCAGUAGCGGCGAGCGAACGGGGAGCAGCCCAGAGCCUGAAUCAGUGUGUGUGUUAGUGGAAGCGUCUGGAAAGGCGCGCGAUACAGGGUGACAGCCCCGUACACAAAAAUGCACAUACUGUGAGCUCGAUGAGUAGGGCGGGACACGUGGUAUCCUGUCUGAAUAUGGGGGGACCAUCCUCCAAGGCUAAAUACUCCUGACUGACCGAUAGUGAACCAGUACCGUGAGGGAAAGGCGAAAAGAACCCCGGCGAGGGGAGUGAAAAAGAACCUGAAACCGUGUACGUACAAGCAGUGGGAGCACGCUUAGGCGUGUGACUGCGUACCUUUUGUAUAAUGGGUCAGCGACUUAUAUUCUGUAGCAAGGUUAACCGAAUAGGGGAGCCGAAGGGAAACCGAGUCUUAACUGGGCGUUAAGUUGCAGGGUAUAGACCCGAAACCCGGUGAUCUAGCCAUGGGCAGGUUGAAGGUUGGGUAACACUAACUGGAGGACCGAACCGACUAAUGUUGAAAAAUUAGCGGAUGACUUGUGGCUGGGGGUGAAAGGCCAAUCAAACCGGGAGAUAGCUGGUUCUCCCCGAAAGCUAUUUAGGUAGCGCCUCGUGAAUUCAUCUCCGGGGGUAGAGCACUGUUUCGGCAAGGGGGUCAUCCCGACUUACCAACCCGAUGCAAACUGCGAAUACCGGAGAAUGUUAUCACGGGAGACACACGGCGGGUGCUAACGUCCGUCGUGAAGAGGGAAACAACCCAGACCGCCAGCUAAGGUCCCAAAGUCAUGGUUAAGUGGGAAACGAUGUGGGAAGGCCCAGACAGCCAGGAUGUUGGCUUAGAAGCAGCCAUCAUUUAAAGAAAGCGUAAUAGCUCACUGGUCGAGUCGGCCUGCGCGGAAGAUGUAACGGGGCUAAACCAUGCACCGAAGCUGCGGCAGCGACGCUGAUGCGUUGUUGGGUAGGGGAGCGUUCUGUAAGCCUGCGAAGGUGUGCUGUGAGGCAUGCUGGAGGUAUCAGAAGUGCGAAUGCUGACAUAAGUAACGAUAAAGCGGGUGAAAAGCCCGCUCGCCGGAAGACCAAGGGUUCCUGUCCAACGUUAAUCGGGGCAGGGUGAGUCGACCCCUAAGGCGAGGCCGAAAGGCGUA